rnacentral:lncRNA from 1 species
UGGUAAGGAUAUGGAGAAAAGGGAACCUUUGUACACUGUUGGUGGGAAUGUAAGUUAGUACAGCCAUUAUGGAAACCGUAUGGAAGUUCCUCAGAAAACUAAAAAUGGAGCCACUAUAUGACCCAGCAAUCUCACUUGUAGGUAUAUAUCCAAAGGAAUUGAAAUCAGUAAGUCAAAGAUGUCUAUACUUACAUGUUAAUUGCAGCAUUAUUCACAAUAACCAAGAUAUGGAAUCAGCUUUAGUGUUCAUCAACUAAUGAAUGCAUUUAAAAAAAAAUGCAUUCACCUUCUUUUCCACAUUUCUUUUAGUUUUAAUUUUGAUUUAAAGUAUUUUAGACAUACAAGUAUAGAUAAAAGUAAAUGAAAAUCCAAAUACUUGGCCUCCCAGCUCAUAAAACACAAUAUUACAGGCCGGGCGUGGUGGCUCAUGCCUAUAAUCCCAGCACUUUGGGAGGCCGAGGUGGGUGGAUCACUUAAGGUCAGGAGUUUGAGACCAGCCUGGCUGGUGAAACCCUCUCUACUAAAAAUGCAAAAGUUAACCAGGUGUGGUGGCACAGAAAAAAUAACCGCAGCCUGAGAUACAACCAUAGGUAAAAAGGUAAUGGCAAAAACUGCAAUAGCUUUUGCACCAACCUAAUACAAAAGUUAAGGAGAGGGAGCUCUCUCCAGGAAAAAUAAAAUGUAGAUCCUAUUCUUGAGUUAGUAUUCAUUGUAUAGCUAUAUUUUUCAAGGAGAAAGUACUGAUUUCUGGCCUCAAAAAGGACUAAAUUCUGUGAUGUCCAAAUGUUGAAUGGUUGGUUAUUCACCAACCAUUACUGCCAAGUGACAGAGAAUUCUGUUCCUCACGUUUUGGCUGACUGCCUUUGGAACAUAAAGCCAUCUCUCUGUUCUUCUGUGAGACAAAGUUUUUAUUUGUGUAAUGAGAAUGCUGUCUGUUGCUAUAAGGAUGUUAGCUUCCAAGAGAUGUUGGGUGCUGUGUAUCAAAAUGGUGGGCUCCUAGAGAUAGGUGCUACAUAAAGCUGUGGUAUUUUCCCUUUACUAGAUGAUACUACAAAUCAUUCUAACUCCUCCAAGGAGGUCCCUUCCUCAGCUGUUUUGAGAAGCCUUCGGGUGAAUGUGGGUCCAGACGGAGAGGAGACGAGAGCUCAGACUGUACAGAAAUCCCCGGAGUUUUUGUCCACUUCAGAGUCUUCUAGCUUGUUGCAAGAUCUACAGCCAAGUGAUAGCACUUCUUUUAUUCUUCUUAACCUAACAAGAGCAGGUAUUCUUUCCUUUUUUUUGGGCUCUGCUUAUGCCUAAGAAAAAAAUUAGGGGUGGGGCAUAUUUAACUUAGUCAUACUUAAAAUAGAAAGAACCUUUAUUAUUUUAUUAUUUUGGAGAAUUGGUGUGUCUGGUGACCAUUUGAAUAUGUAGAGGGAGAGGGAGGACUCUAGUAUGACUCAUAUCUUGUUUGGGAAAUUAUGUAGUGCCAUUUACUGAGAUCGCACAGGAAGAGCAAGGCUUGGGGGAGGAUGAUUAGUUCCAAUUUGCACCUAUUUAUGUUGAGAUUUUGGAGGUAUAUUCAGGAGGACAUGUCCUUUAGAGAGUUAGAAACAUGAAUCCAGAGUUCUAGAAAGGUCUGUUUUGGUGCUUAUCAGCAUUCAGGAAACGUAUGAAACAAUGAACAUGGAUUCUAGAGAAGUCUCAAGCAUAAACAGAAAAGAAGGCAAGUCUGGGACCCUGGGAAAAAACAUUUAAGAGGACAACAGAACAGGAAGGAGCAGCUGGAAGGGGAUGAAGAGAACUGGGAGAGAGUGGUAGCAGGGAAGCCAAGGGAGGAAGAAGUUUUAAGGCAGAAAAGAUACUAAAUCAUGCCAAAUACUACAUGAUGGGCUUAUUAGUGAGAAGAAGUGUGUGUCUGGUGACCCUAGCAAGAGCAAUUGUUACUGUGGUAGCUGAGGUAGAGGCCAGGGUUAAAGAGAUGGGGAGUGGAUGGGAGGUAAGACAAUAGAUACACAAGUUAGAAGGUACACUUGUUCAAGAAGCUUGACUUUAAAGGAACAGGGAAGAAGGUAAAUAGCUAGAGAAGUACUUGGGGUUUUCUAAUUCUUUUUAAAAAUAAGGGUGAGAGACUUGAGUUAGGACAUAUUUAAAGACAUAAGGAAAUGCUGGCCGAUAGAGAGGAACUAGUUGCAGAUAGGAGAGAGGAGAUAACACAAGUAUAUAUGGGGGGAUAAUUGAAGAAUGAGAAUGAAAUACAGUAGGUGGGGAUUAGUCUGGUUGACCAAGAAAGACAGCUUUGCCUUGAAACCAGAGGAGGCAAGGUAAUGACAAGCCUGUAGACUAAAGGUAGAAAGAUGAUAGCCUGCUCUUCAGUGAGAAGUUUGAGGUAAAAGGCGAAGGUCAGGAAUAGCUUAUUUAGGACAUGGAGAGUUUCUGGGCCAGGCGCAGUGGCUCACGCCUGUAAUCCCAGUACUUUGGGAGGCCGACGUGGGCGAAUCACGAGGUCAGGAGUUCAAGACCAGCCUGACCAACAUGGUGAAACCCCGUCUCUACUAAAAAUACAAAAAUUAGCCGGGCGUGGUGGUGCAUGCCUGUAAUCCCAGCUACUCAGGAGGCUGAGGCAGGAGAAUCACUUGAACCUGGGAAGCGGAGGUUGCAGUAAGCCGAGAUUGCGCCACUGCACUCCAGCCUGGGUGACAGAGCGAGACGCCGUCUCAAAAAAAAAAAAAAAAAAAGGGACAUGGAGAGUCUCUGAGCCAGGGCAAAUAAAAAGCUUGCUUGGUUUCUAACUUUUCAUAUAUUUUGUUUCUUCCAGGUCUGGGCUCUUCAGCUGAGCACUUAGUGUUUGUACAGGAUGAGGCAGAAGAUUCAGGGAAUGAUUUCCUCUCCAGUGAGAGCACAGACAGUAGCAUUCCAUGGUUCCUCCGGGUUCAGGAGUUGGCCCAUGACAGUUUGAUUGCUGCUACUCGUGCACAACUGGCAAAGAAUGCAAAAACCAGCAGCAAUGGUGAGGCCCGUCGGCAUUUUCCUUGCCACUAUUCUGUGCAAAGAGAUUUUGGUAAUGCAGUGGCUGGUUUGAGUUGUAUAUAAUUUAAAUUAUUCUAUUGAUGAGAGCAGAAGGCUAGAAAUCUGUAAAUUGUUUAAAUUUUAUUUUCUAUAAAAUAACUUGGUCAUGCCAGAUUUGUGUUCAAAACCAACUAGUAUUCUGAAUUCUCAACUUUAAAUAAUGUACAGAGCCCCUUUUAAAGAAAAAAUAAUAUACAUCCUGGGGUUUGAAUUGUUUUUAUUGUAAUGUCUCUUAAAUAUGCAAAAACAUAAAUUCUGUGUAAACUUCAUAUACUUAGA